UGCCCAUACUUUCUGCCCACCUGUGGGUUGACACUUGACAGAAUUCCAAGUAUCCGAUACGGUACUAAAGUGGAUUUAAACAUGUGGUGACGUCUUGAUUCCCGGUGGUGUGCUAGUUGGUGAGCUAUUCACAAGGUGAUUGCAAGCAUAGGGCGCCCUGCAGUUAUUUUCACCAUCUUCAGAGGAUAUCAUGACAAAAGUUUCCUGCCUGUCUUCAACCUCCAGCAUGACCAUUCAAACAUGUGCUUGUUAUUACACGGUUUAGGGCUGGGCUAUGUUUUGGUAGUUGCCACGGUCUCACCACACACUAUAUGCAAGUGAUUCUGAUUUGAU
rnacentral:lncRNA from 1 species